AGGCUCUAUCCUCUUAAUCACCUGACAAGGAUAAAAAAAGUUUAGUUAUGCAUCAAUUGAGAUAUAUAUGAUGAUAGAUGCGAAAAGGUUUAGACGUAUCUUGGUCCUCCUAGGUAGUCUCAUUGUAUAAAAUAUUUGGGUAUUAAGAAAAGAACUCAUGAUAAAUAAUAAGAUAUAGAAAAUAUAUUCUAUUGACUUAUGUAGAGUGAUCUUUAUUGACAUAGAAAUCAAUUAAUACUUCAAGAUA
rnacentral:lncRNA from 1 species